rnacentral:ribozyme from 21 species
AAUCGACUAGGCGAUUUAAAAUAGGUGUUAAGCCUAGUGCGGCAGGGUUCUUCCCUGCAUCACA